rnacentral:rRNA from 1 species
AUACGGAGGGGGCAAGCGUUGUUCGGAAUUACUGGGCGUAAAGGGCGCGUAGGCGGCCCGGCAAGUCGGACGUGAAAUCCCUCGGCUCAACCGAGGAACUGCGUCCGAAACUGCUAGGCUUGAGUCCCGGAGAGGGUGGCGGAAUUCCCAGUGUAGCGGUGAAAUGCGUAGAUAUUGGGAGGAACACCAGUGGCGAAGGCGGCCACCUGGACGGGUACUGACGCUGAGGCGCGAAAGCGUGGGGAGCAAACAGGAUUAGAAACCCCGGUAGUCC